GUAGAACUCCUAACAGCAGGAGUAGGGGCUCUAUCUCACUCUGUUGCCUGCUUUUGGGACACUUUCCUCCC
ensembl:miRNA Gm25958 predicted gene, 25958